UGGGGAAUAUUGCACAAUGGGCGCAAGCCUGAUGCAGCCAUGCCGCUUGUGUGAAGAAGUCCUUCGGGUUGUAAAGCACUUUCAGCGGGGAGGAAGGCGGUGAGGUUAAUAACCUUGGCGAUUGACGUUACCCGCAGAAGAAGCACCGGCUAACUCCGUGCCAGCAGCCGCGGUAAUACGGAGGGUGCAAGCGUUAAUCGGAAUUACUGGGCGUAAAGCGCACGCAGGCGGUCUGUCAAGUCGGAUGUGAAAUCCCCGGGCUCAACCUGGGAACUGCAUUCGAAAAUGGAAGGGUAGAGGCUUGUAGAGGGGGGUAGAAAUCCAGGUGUAGCGGGGAAAUGCGGAGAGAUCGGGGGGAAAACCGGUGGCGAAGGGGGCCCCCUGGACAAAGAAUGACGCUCAGGUGGGAAAGGGUGGGGAGCAAACAGG
rnacentral:rRNA from 1 species